AGAUUAGGAGGUGGUUUUGGUGUUGCCCAUGGCCCAACAAUUGUGAAUAUUAUAAGGCAAGAUAUUUUUUUCUACAAUAAAUACUACCUGUUGGGACCCAGCAGGUGGAAAUUAUUAUUAUAAUUGGCAAGAUUCUUUUGAUAUAUAGAUUUUUUUUCCUUUCUCCAUUUUUUUUGUUUUUUUUUUAUUUUUUUAAUUUUUUUUUUAUUUUCCCACUGUACAGCAAGGGAGUCAGGUUAUCCUUACAUGUAUAUAUAUAUAGAUUUUAUAAUUAAUAAAGAUUUUUAUAAUAGAUAAGGUUUAUUUAAGACAGUUUAUGUUCCCACAACCUGCUAAUGGUCUGAGGUCAGCCUGACCUCGAAAGCAAGCCACGUGUGAAUACCCCACUCUCCAUCAAUGGCUGUUCAUACCUGCUAGAGAAGCACAAUAGGUAGCUUGAGGCAAGAAUAUCUAUUACCUUAUGCCAAAUCAUUGUUAAAGUAAAAAUUAGAUACCUAUUAUUCUGCUUGCUAUUUACUUAUUUUCUAAGAAUUAAAGUACAGUUUGUACGUAAUCUUUAUUUAAAAUCUAAAACUAAAAGAAUAGUUUGGAAUAAUAAAUUAACAUAUAUUGUUGUUUGUAUAAUCAUGCAUAAGAGUAAAAUGUAUAAAAACUGAUACUCUCCUUUCAAUAAAUGGGUCAUCUGCAGCACUUGCUGAGGGAGUUGGCUCAAAUUCUUUCCUCACCUGUUUGUAGCCCCUCAUCCUGUUCAUCGUCUCCUGGCUGCUGGGGCUGAACCCCUGGCACUCCACAGUACUUUCAACUGACUCAUUUGUUGGGUGAACCUGCUUGCAAUGUCAGGAGUGUAAAUUUUUGACCCAGCCAGAAGUUGAUCCUUGUGACUUCUGAGGCCUGAUUUUUCUAAUUGGGAAGCAGGAUCCUAUAAAAUGUAUUACAAUGAAGAGAGUUGUUGACAUCUUGCUGUCACAAGACCAUAGGGAAUUUAGUGAUAAUUUAUUAUGUCUAAACUUUUGGUCCCCUUACUCACCAGCUGCCCAGCAGAACUUUCUGGAUCAAAGUCAGACUUAGAAAGAUCAUGCAAUUUAAAACAAGUGACAGACAGGAUUUGUGAAAAAAUAUCUUUGUUUAACUAAGACCUUCUAGAAAACAGGAAAGCACAGAGAUUGUGCCUAAUGGAAUGGGUUCAAACACUUUUAGAAGAAUCACAAUCCUGGGAAAGUGUUGUAGAUCCCUAAGUGCCUAGAUCCCCUGUUCUGAGAUGUAGAAAUGUUAAUCUGGCCUACUUUUAGUAUUAUGUUAUCAGACAUCAUUACAUUUUUAGAAAAAAAAUGAAGUAUGUGUGCUUCAUCAAUGCUCAGUAUGUGUUCAGUCUUGAGUGAUGGCAACAAUAAGUUAGACAUUUAGUUGUGGUCCAUUUAACCAGGGGGUUAUAUGGAUGCUCCACAUCAGGGAGGGAGGAAACUUACCUUUCAGGUUCUUCAUGGGUGUGAUGCUUCACAGCACAUGGACAAUACCUAUUUUCUUCUCCUCUGACACCCAGGCCUGUUGUAGGUGAGGAAGUGCAAACAUGGGCUGUAACCCAUAGAGUACAGUGGUGGGCAUUAACAUGUAGAGAGCUUAAGUGACUUUCCAAGAGUCUCAGUAGUGAUGAGUGACAGAUCUGUGGCAGGAAUGUAGCUGAUUCCCUGAGGACAGAGAUAACUGCCCAGGGUUCUGAGAUCAUGCCCUGGAGCCCUGAAUCAGGAGCUGCUCUCAUUCUUUCUCAGCUCCUCCUUCCCAUGGUUUCUGUGUUUGAGAUCUGAUGUCCUGGAGGAAACAACUGAGCCUAGAAAAGAACCAACACAUCCACUCUCCCUUUUAUCCCCAUCUUUCACCCCUUCAUUCAAAAUACAAACCUUUCUUCCAAAUAAAGCCCUUCUGAAGGAUCUGGGAAUUCUAACUGCUCUUGUUCUUCCAAGAAUCUUCUUACUGUCAGCUGUCUUUUGCAAGGUGAGCCUUUUUAAUGACCACUUGACCAAGAGCUCAGAACAUUCUAAACAGAAUUCCCACAUGGUGGCUCCAAAAGAAUCAUCUUCCUUUCAACUAACCAACACUAGAGGCUGAGGGAAUUACGUCUGGGAUGCUCAGAGUCUCACUGACAUUUGUUCUGAGUACCCAUUUGAGCAGCCUGGACAAAAGGCCAGCUAAGAAUGGGCAGGGCUCAAAUCCUCACCAAAAUCCUGGCUCAGUCAACUCCUCAUCUCUCUCUAGACCCUUGUAGAGGAAGGCAAAAGUGUCCCAUAUCCUUUUUGAAAGCCAUCUCCAUGCUUAAGAGGCUGUAGACACCACCCAGGAUGCUCCUUGAGUAUUGCCAGACUUAACCUCCUCCCAUCAGUGACCAAAUGUUCAUUCUACUAACUGAUAGCACUGUCCCUUUUCAUCAAACACCCUGUUAACACUCAGGCAGUUAUCCUGUCCACAUAAACCCAUGGAAAUCCCACCAGUAAAUCUCACUUUCUUUCCUUUAUAAAACUCUUUGUUUUUAGACCUUCAAUAUUUGGUUUCAGAUUUUGACAACUACAUUCAGAAGAACUGAGCUGUAAUUCCCCUUUCCUCCUGGAAUGUCCAUUCCUGGGAAGGCAUUGAGUUUCACCUGCUUCAGUGGAAGCAGCGUGGGUAUGUUCCCGUUGUCUGUUCUCUGGUAGAGUAUACAACAUUGGUAUUAGGAAAUAAUAUGUUUAUCUAAAUGCAGGAAAACAUUUCAGGCAGGUGGACCAAACAUAUUAAUUAAUACAACAAAACUGUAUAUUUAUAAUUCUAUAUAUUGCUUAUAGUGGUAGAAGCAAGAAAAAAAAAGAUGAGGAAAAUAUAUGUGUCUAGUCACUUAUGAUGUAUGUGUAACUGGGUCACCAUGCUGUACAGUAGAAAAAAAUAAUAUACUGGGGAAAUAAGAGAAAAGAAGAUAAAAGAAAAAAAAUAAAGUUAGCCAGCCCAUUUGAAGGAAUAUCCUUUAGGGGAUCAAUGUAAACUUACAUUUGGUACAGCAGUUGAGAUUGCCCAUUCCCAAAGCAUGUGCAUGAAGUAAGAGCUUCACACCAGCCAACAGAUAGAAACAUCUCAGUUCACAGAGUGGCUAUUUGAACAGAAGGCCAGAAGUGCAUAAUCACAUUACUAUGGUGAGGUGUCAUAAUAGAACUUGCAGUGGGAACUUAAUUGUGCACAGGAUGGAUGGGUCCAAUUGCUGCUAUCAGAAAGUGUGUUUCCAUGAACAAAUGUGGCUUUUCAGAGGAAAAUUUAAUUCCAAAAUUGAAUAUCAGGCUCACAAAUAACUCUCUGAUUAAGAAAAUUAUUUUUAUCCCCCAAGAAUAGUUGAUAUUGAAACUUUCAGGGUGAAGAGGCAAAAAGCCAGCAUGUGGAGAAUAUAAAGAAGUCCCACUCUUGAUUCAAGUAUCAUGGUCAUCCAUUUCUAGUAUCCCUGAAUCACUAGAAAUUCCCAGAUAAAAAAAAUUUUAAUGUGAGAUUUAAUCUUGUUAUAAACAAAGUUAAUUUUUUCAUUUCAUAUCCACUUGUAUUCUGUAGUGUCCUAUAUAUAUUCAAUUUAUCUCCUCACAAAAGUAAUAAUUUAUUGUUUAUUUCAAGUAAUUUUCCAAUUUGUCACAAUCUUAUAAUUUAUUACAGUUACUUGUAUUUAUACUCUGAAGAAAUUUCUUUCAUUUUUCCAAAAAAAAAUCAGUAAAUAUUUUUGUUAUUUCUGGUUUUGAGAAAGAAAAUCGGGAAGGAAAUUAUAGCUAUUAUUCAUACUAAGGUUUAAAUAUGCUUUAAGAAAAUAUUUUACUAAUUAGGAAAAUAACUAUAGGUGUUUUAAGGCAAAUUUUUUAUUAAAAAAAUUUGAAUAUUUGUAAAGAUGCAUGUCAAAAUGGGUCAAUGAUUUUUUUAGGGAAGGGAUAUCAAUUUUUCCCCAGAAGUUAUAUAGAAUCAGAAAUGUAGCAAUACAUUCAUAAUAUGAGCCAAAGGUUUUUUAAAGCACACAUGGUAAUUUAUGUCUCAAAUAAAAAGCUCAGAACAUUUUGGAAGUGAUCAUGAUGGUGCACCAAUGAUUCAUCCACUUGAAUGGAUUAAUGAUGUGUCUAUUUAUGCAAUAGUGAACUUGUAGGGGUUUGCUGGGAAAGACUGGCACAUUCAGUAGAUGUUAGUUAAAGCACAUUAAAUGAAUUUGUGAUUAAAAUAAAUUUCUGGAGUUCCUGUUGUGGCUCAGUGGUUAACGAAUCCUACUAGGAAACAUGAGGUUGCAGGUUUGAUCCCUGGCCUUGCUCAGUGGGUUAAGGACAUGGAAUUUCUGUGAGCUGUGGUGUAGAUUGUCUAUUUAUCCAGCCAGCCACAGCCCCAACUGGCCCCCUAGCCUAGGAACCUCCAUAUGGCGCAGGAGCGGCCCAAGAAAUGGCAAAAAAAAAAAAA
ensembl:lncRNA